AAAGGGGAGCAAUCCCUGAGUAAAGUGGCGUACGGGUGAGUAACACGUGGGUAAUCUACCUUUUGGUGGGGAAUAACCCUGGGAAACCGGGGCUAACACCGCAUAAGCUCGAAAGAGGAAAAGAGAAAUCUGCCGAAAGAGGAGCCCGCGGCUGAUUAGCUAGUUGGUGAGGUAAAGGCUCACCAAGGCAAUGAUCGGUAGCCGGCCUGAGAGGGCACACGGCCACACUGGCACUGAAACACGGGCCAGACUCCUACGGGAGGCAGCAGUGGGGAAUCUUGCACAAUGGGGGAAACCCUGAUGCAGCGACGCCGCAUGAGUGAUGAAGCCCUUCGGGGUGUAAAGCUCUUUCGGCAGGGACGAUAAUGACGGUACCUGAAGAAGAAGCUGCGGCUAACUACGUGCCAGCAGCCGCGGUAAUACGUAGGCAGCGAGCGUUGUUCGGAGUUACUGGGCGUAAAGAGUGCGUAGGCGGUUUUCUAAGUUUGGUGUGAAAUCUCCCGGCUUAACUGGGAGGGUGCGCCGAAAACUGGAAGGCUUGAGUAUGGGAGAGGUAAGCGGAAUUCCUGGUGUAGCGGUGAAAUGCGUAGAUAUCAGGAGGAACACCUGCGGUGUAGACGGCUUACUGGACCAUAACUGACGCUGAGGCACGAAAGCGUGGGUAGCAAACAGGAUUAGAUACCCUGGUAGUCCACGCCCUAAACGAUGCAUACUUGGUGUGGGUAGUUCAUUCUAUCCGUGCCGGAGCUAACGCGUUAAGUAUGCCGCCUGGGGAGUACGGUCGCAAGGCUGAAACUC
rnacentral:rRNA from 1 species